rnacentral:rRNA from 1 species
UACGUAGGUGGCAAGCGUUGUCCGGAAUUAUUGGGCGUAAAGCGCGCGCAGGUGGUUUCUUAAGUCUGAUGUGAAAGCCCACGGCUCAACCGUGGAGGGUCAUUGGAAACUGGGGAACUUGAGUGCAGAAGAGGAAAGUGGAAUUCCAAGUGUAGCGGUGAAAUGCGUAGAGAUUUGGAGGAACGCCAGUGGCGAAGGCGACUUUCUGGUCUGUAACUGACACUGAGGCGCGAAAGCGUGGGGAGCGAACAGG